GACGAACGCUGGCGGCGUGCUUAACACAUGCAAGUCGAACGAUGUGGCGAACGGGUGAGUAACGUGUAAUCAACCUGCCCUUCCGUGGGGUACAACAUUUGGCAACGACCGCUUAUAUCGUAUUCUGAAGGAGGGGAUUGCGUUUGAUUAGCUAGUUGGAGGGGGAACGGCCCACCAAGGCGAGGAUCAGUAGCCGGUCUGGGAGGGUGAACGGCCAAAUUGGGACGGAGACACGGCCCAGACUCCUACGGGAGGCAGCAGUGGGGAAUCUUCCGCAAUGGACGAAAGUCUGACGGAGCAACGCCGCGUGAGUGAUGACGGCCUUCGGGUUGUAAAGCUCUGUUAAUCGGGACGCGGUACCGGAAUAGAAAGCCACGGCUAACUACGUGCCAGCAGCCGCGGUAAUAC
rnacentral:rRNA from 1 species